rnacentral:tRNA from 1 species
GCGCCGUUAGCUCAGUUGGAUCAGAGCGUCUGGCUACGGACCAGAAGGCCGGGGGUUCGAGUCCCUCACGGCGUACCA